UACGGAGGGGGCUAGCGUUGUUCGGAAUUACUGGGCGUAAAGCGCACGUAGGCGGCUUUGUAAGUUAGAGGUGAAAGCCCGGGGCUCAACUCCGGAAUUGCCUUUAAGACUGCAUCGCUAGAAUUGUGGAGAGGUAAGUGGAAUUCCGAGUGUAGAGGUGAAAUUCGUAGAUAUUCGGAAGAACACCAGUGGCGAAGGCGACUUACUGGACACAUAUUGACGCUGAGGUGCGAAAGCGUGGGGAGCAAACAGGAUUAAGAAACCC
rnacentral:rRNA from 1 species